GAGUCGGACCUGCCCAGUGAAUAAUUUUUUAACGGCCGCGGUACUCUGACCGUGCAAAGGUAGCAUAAUCAUUUGCCCUAUAAUUGAGGGCUAGUAUGAAUGGUUUGACGUGAACAAAACUGUCUCUAUAUAAUUUUUUAGAACUUGAUUUUUAGGUGAGGAAACCUAAAUACUAUUGAAAGACAAGAAGACCCUAUUGAGCUUUAAAAAAAUAAGUUGAAAAUAAUAUAUAACUCUAAAUAUUAAUCAAUUUUGAAUUUUGGUUGGGGCGACUAUGGAACAAAUAAAGCUUCUUUAUAAUAGGCAGGACUAACAAGUAUUGAUCCAAAAAUUUUGAUCAAUGGAAUUAGUUACCAUAGGGAUAACAGCAUAAUUCUCUUUAAGAGUUCUUAUCGAAAAGAGAGUUUGUGACCUCGAUGUUGGACUAGAAUAUCCUAAAGAUGCAGCAGUCUUUAAGGGUUGGUC
rnacentral:rRNA from 1 species